AACGAACGCUGGCGGCAUGCCUAACACAUGCAAGUCGAACGGGAUCCAGGCUUCGGCCUGGUGAGAGUGGCGGACGGGUGAGUAACGCGUGGGAACCUGCCCAAUGGUCUGGGAUAACCGCGGGAAACUGCGGCUAAUACCGGAUAAGCCCGAGAGGGGAAAGAUUUAUCGCCGAUGGAGGGGCCCGCGUCAGAUUAGGUAGUUGGUGGGGUAAUGGCCUACCAAGCCUACGAUCUGUAGCUGGCUGAGAGGAUGAUCAGCCACACUGGGACUGAGAUACGGCCCAGACUCCUACGGGAGGCAGCAGUGGGGAAUAUUGGACAAUGGGGCAACCCUGAUCCAGCAAUGCCGCGUGAGUGAUGAAGGCCUUAGGGUUGUAAACUCCUUUCGAUCGAGACGAAUGGUCUCCGGGUGAACAGCCUGGGACGUGACGGUACCGAGAGAAGAAGCCCGGCUAACUCCGUGCCAGCCGCCGCGGUAAC
rnacentral:rRNA from 1 species